CAGCUGCCGCGCCGCCCGCAGGCUCCGCUCUUUCUCGCCGCGGACCCGGCGCCAGCCCAGGUAGAGGGCUAGGCCGAAGAGCACGAAGCCCACGCUGAGCCCCAGGGCCCCAGCCAGAUACACCGGCACCAGCACGAGCAGCCUCCGCCCGAAGGAACUCAGCACGGCUAGCGCCUCGCCCGCUGCCCCGGGGUGCUGCUGCUUUGGAGGUGGAGGCUUCGUGGGGCUGGGGUCCUGCUUAUCCGGAGCCGCGGGAAGUUGGUCAGCGGGGCUCUCCACGGGGCCGGGACCCUUUCCAACUGGCCGCUCCAUGGUGCCAACGCCCGCACUGGAGGCCAGCUCCGCGCUGCCCCGCCUGGCCACCCGGAUCCCCUAAGCAAACCGAAAACUCCGGAGGCGGGGCGGCUACUUCAGACCACGCCCCCUUCGGGCACCGUCCAUUGGUUCAUGCCCCAAUACUGGGGCGGAGCCAUAGGUCGAGACCCCGCCCCACUGGCAGGGAGGCGUGGAAUACAGAGGGGCAGAGACUUCUCUGAUUGGGUCAUGCUACACUGGGGAGGGGGCGUUCCGGAGAUAUGGGGAGAAGAGCAUCUGAUUGGUCUGAAGGAGAGGAGGAGGCGUGGCGGAUCCUCUAAAGAGGGAAGGCCGGAGUAGGAGGUGUCCACACGUGGGAUGGGUGGGGCUGAUGGGUGACGCCGAACUGAGUUUCCCCUCUCCCCAAUUGCUCUGGUUUAGGCUGAGCAAACUUGACUAAAUUAAAGUUUUGUAGACGUCUAGAGGCGCCAUUCCCCCCAAAUAUGGAUGGGUUGGGAAUUCUGCCUUUCCCCUCUCCGCAAGCCAAGAAUGCCAAAACCCAUUGCUUCCAGAGAGUCUUUCAGAGGUCAAGACUGGAAUGAAAGGUUUUACCACCAUCUUCAUCUGCCAUCAGCCUCAGAACUAGAAAGAGAGCAUUGGGUUUGGAGCUCUUGGACCUCGGUUCAACUCCUGGCAUUGCCAUUUGCUACCUCCGUGACUUCUACUGUCAGCAGGAGCCUUUGAAAACCACCUACGGAGGCAGAGCUGGUUUGGAAGGUCUCCGUGGAGAGGGAGAUCUCUGCAAGGCUGCCAGGGAGCAUCAUGGGCAGGCAGCCCUUCUCCUCCUCCUCUGCGCUCUGGGCGGGAGCACAGUUGGGUGGCGGAGAGGAUGCACCACCCUCGCCGAGGAUGAAGCUGGCUCUUCGAGGGCUUUGCUCAGGCUGCACAGUCUGCUCAGGACCCAGGCGGGUUCCGGCUUCCUACCUCUUGGCCUCCAGCCCUCCGCGCCCCAAGGAGGGAGGUGGGAGGAGGAGGGAAGGGCAGGCUGCAUGUGGCUGGUGGCUCCAUUCCAAAAGGAAGCAGCUUUGUUGCAGGGAGAGGAGAAGCUCUCAAGGUAAGGGAUAAGGGGGGAGGCCAGGGAUAUACCAUUCCUGGAAGAGUUCUCAGCAAGGGGGCAGUCCUUGCCGGCCCUCUUAGAGCAGACUGGCUCGGCUCCCCGACCCAGCAGAGCCCCGGUGGGCAAAUGGGACCGAGAGCCUGGACUCCUCCAGGCCCCUCCCCCAGCUGGAGCCCCAAGUACCCAAGCCCAGAAGCUGCAAUGCAGUCAUCUGCUCUAUAAACACCUCAUCUUCCUGCCUCUCCUUGGCAUCCCUACUGCCCAGGCGCCAUCUGGCGGUGGUUGGAGGUAAUGGGAAGCCUGGGAAGGUGGCGGGGAGAAGGGAGGGAGCGGGUGGCUCUUUGCUGGCUGCACCACUCCUUCGGAGUGGAACUUCCGAGGAUCCCAGCUUUGCCGAGCAGUUUUUGCUUUGGAUCAUCAUUUGCAAAUGGCUCUCCACUACCGGCAUGCACUUGGACUCCAGUUUCCUGGUCUGUCAAAGGAAAGGGGCCCCGGGGUCUCUAAAGCCCUGUCCAGCUCUAGGGUUAAGCUGAUUGGCUUUUCAGCCACGAGGUUCUCGAACACCAUUCACUAAGCUCAGGGAAGCUGGGGCCACAGCCGGGGCCAAAGACACAGUGGCCAUGUUGGCAAGACGACAGAUCCAGGGCAUUCUGAGGAAUGGUCUGGCGGGCAGAUGGUGGUAGGAAAUGGAGCAGGAACCAGGUGUCCGUCGAUCCCAGGGAUCUCUGCUUUAACUCAAAUUACUUUGAUAGUCAGUCAACAAACGGUUCAUUAAGCACCUACCUAAUUAAAUGAAUCAAAAAUGAGAGUCUUUGCCGUCCAGUUUAGAUUUGUUAAAAUCCCUCUUUAGAUGGAGCACCCAGACUCCAGCUGGAAGCUAAAUACAGAUGUCGUCUGACCAGGACAGAGGACAGUUGGACAGUCACUUUCCACUAAUAGGACUCUCCCUAUCAUCUCCCCACACUCAUCUUGUCCAAGCUAACCAUCCCCAGGCUGUUGCGUGUUACUGGAGAAAGUUUUGUGUAACUUGUGUCCAUCCAUAAAUGAGUCGGGCCCAGAGUGAAGCGAGCCUGAGGACCAAACUUUCCCCUCCCAGGGAAAUCGGGGAUCUUGCACUUGACCAAGACAAGAAGAUAGAGCAGAGAAGACCUGGUCUUUGGGGACCAGAACUGGUUAACUGUUUCUGUUGCCUUUGGGGAUUCUGGAUUUCCUGCUUCUUGUGCAAAGAAUGGUGGAACUCCUGCCAGGCAGAGCUGCACCAGGUGAGGAAAUUGCUGAGUGAUGACUACUUGCUAAGGAUUAGAACCAGGAGAGGAGACGGCACCAUCAUGCUGGAUCCUCCCUUGAAUCUUCAGCCUCAGAAAGCUGAACUAAGACGGGACACGCGUGGGCCUUCUCAUGAUCAGUAAGUAGGAGUGCCUUGAGUUUCCCUCACCUCCCUAAAGAACUGAGAGGGCCAACUGGGAGGAAGCUUUGGGAGAUGAGGGUGUCAGCAUUUUGCUUUCAUUUUGGCCGAGGUCAUCCAGCCACAGUAGCUCGAGUACUUCCAUUCCGUGUCUGUUGGAGUGGGGGGUGUUGAUUGAGAGAAAAUUCCAGAUGUCCUCACAGGGCCCAAAUGUUGUCUUUUUGACCAGAAUCUGAGCGUCACCAGGGUUGGGUCUUAGGCUGCUUGGCUAAAGGAUAUGGUGUGGCCGUCUGGUGGCCAGUGAGGAUAAUACAGUCUCUAGGAAGAUCAUCCACGUGCAGGAGAGGACCUGAACUGGGUGCUGGGCGAGCUACUGGCUCAAGGAGAGUGUCAUUCCCUGGGCAACUAGGCUUGAGUUCUACUGGCUAAUUAACAUAAGGACCCAUUGCCUUUCUGGGACAUAUAAAGUAUCACGUGAACUCUAUAGACAAAAUGUCGCAUGCGAAAUAAAUUGAUUUCCUUUCAUACACAUUUAUAGUGCCCCCAUGGGCCAUCACUAUUGCUUGACAUUAAUUUUAUUCUGUUCUUAUUGUCCUUCCAUCUCAACUCCAACAGGGGUUCCUCCAAACUUCCCUUCCGGUCACACCCUCACAAUUAUAAGAGGUGGGCGCAGUCUAUUCCACUCUGAGAAGACUGAGAUUGUUGAAGCUCCUUCAACUUUCCUCUUUGAGUCUAAAAAUUCCUCCUUCUUUUCAUUCAUUCUUUUUUCCUGUAUCAAAAGAAGAAUUCUUGUUAAGAGUAAUCACUCCAGCCUUCAUUCUGUUUCUUCCUCCCUUCGCUGUGAAUGUUCUGGAAUUCAUUUCUUCUUUCUUGUAACAAUAACUCAUAUUUUAUUAUUUUUUAUUAUUAUUUUAUUAUUAUCCCAAUUUUGCAGAUGGAGAAAUUUUGUGGCUCAGGGAGGCUGUGACUCGCCCAAGAUCACACUAUUAGACCUUCAAUCUAAGGUCUCCCCUGAGAGAUAGUUUGGUGGUAAAGUAGAUAGAGUGCCAGGCCUGAAGUCAGGAAGAUGCAUUUUUCUUUUCUUUCUUUCUUUUUUUUUUAAAAAUAAAACCCUUCACCUUCCAUCUUGGAGUCAAUGUUGUGUAUUAGCUCCAAGGCAGAAGAGUGGUAAGGGCUAGGCAAUGGGGGUCAAGUGACUUGCCCAGGGUCACACAGCUGGGAAGUGGCUGAGGCCAGAUUGAAACCUAGGACCUCCCAUCUCUUGGCCUGGCUCUCCAUCCACUGAGCUACCCAGCUGCCCCCUAGAUGUAUUUUUCUGAGGUCAAAUCUGGCCUCACACUCCUACUGCCUAUGUGAUCCUAGGCAAGUUUUUCUUUCCUUUUUUUUUUUUAAACCCUCACCUUCUGUCUUGGAGUCAAUAGACCUCCCAUCUCUAGGCCUAGCUCUCAAUCCACUGAGCUCCCCAGCUCUCCCCACCACCCCCAGCAAGUUUCUUAACCCUGUUUGCCUUAUUUUUUUAAAACCCUUACCUUCCAUCUUGGAAUCAAUACUGUGUAUUGGUUCCAAGGCAGAAGAGUGGUAAGGGCUAGGCAAUGGGGGUCAAGUGACUUGCCCAGGGUCACACAGCUGGGAAGUGUCUGAGGUCAGAUUUGAACCUAGGACCUCCCAUCUCUAGGCCUGGCUCUCAAUUCACUGAGCCACUCUAUUGCCCCCUACCCUGUUUGCCUUUUAAAAAAAAUCUCUCCUGAUUCCAAGCCUAGGGUUUUAGCUUGCCUGCUGCCUUUUCAUGAAUUUUUCAUCUCUCCUCUCUUUUGUGUACAAAUGUCCUAAAAUCUUCCCUCAAACCUCCUAUUCCAUCCAUCUGCUGUAACCUCUCCUCUCCAUCCUGGUCAAUUUGCUUUCCAAGGAGUUAACACUUGAUCCUUUAUCACUGCCUCUUGUGAUUUGGCUUCCCUCUGCACCACUUCUCUGGAACGGCAAUAAUCAAUAGCGAGGCAUGAAGACACCCACUUAUGGGGAACCUGAGGCUGGUGGAUUGAUUGCUUGAGUUUGGGAAUUCUGAGGCACAGGAGGAGAAAGGUCAUCAGGUGUCCACACUAACUCUUAUGUGGGAAGACCCCCUGGAGGCGAGGCGUGAGGCACUGGGCUGCUUAAGGAGAGGAGAACCAAGCUAAAAUGUUUACACUGAAAAAACAAACCCAAAAAAGUCUUUACACUGAUCAGCAGUGGUCUAGCUGAGUGGCCACUGGCAAGACAGGAAGACGUGGUCUCAGGAAAAGUCAAGUGAACUUGAAUGGUCUUUCUUCCAUCUUCCUUGCCAUUGAGGAUCCCCUUCUCCUUCUGGACAUCCUUUCCUUUUAGCUUCCUCAUUUCACUACCUCUCUAGCCAGUCUGGUCUCUUCUUCCUUGUCCUGUCCUCGAGCCUUUUCCAAAGUCUGAUCUUUGGUUCUGUUCUUUCUCUCCAUCUCCUUCGGCAAUCUCAUUUCCCUAAAGCAUUAGCCAUCAAGGAAUGAAUUCGUAAAAAUGCAUUUUAAAGUUAUUGUUUUAUGUGUCAUAAUACAUAUGCAACUCCCCAAUCUCUGUCUCUAGCUUUGGUCUCUCGAGUUACAAACUUGCAUCUCCAACUAGCUAAUGGUGCCUUUCUACUGGGAUAUUCUAGCCAAACCAUUUUUGUUGCCACUUUCCUUAUAUGGGCUGUACUUUCUGAGUAGAGUCUGUGGAAGGUGUUCUCAGAAUCUGGAAUGCUGCUCUCCUCACCUCAAUUAAAAACCCAUCGGGGCAGGGGACAGAGAAAAGAUCCUGGAUUCAAACCCGGCCUCAGACACGUCCCAGCUGUGUGACCCUGGACAGGUCACUUGACCCCCAUUGCCUAGCCCUUACCACUCUUCUGCCUUGGAGCCAAUACACAGCAUUGACUCCAAGACGGAAGGUGAGGGGUUUAAAAAAAAAAGAAAAAAACUUGCCUGCUCUUCUAUCUUGGAACCAAUACUUAAUUUCAAUUCCAAGACAGAGGAUAAGGGUUUAGUAAAACAACAACAACAAAAUCCUCUCUGUUCUUUAGAGCUCAACUCAAAUGCCAGCUUCUUCCUGAUCACCUAAUUGGUAAAUUAUCUUCCCUCAUUCCUCUCUCCUAUAUAUUUAUCAUUAUAAUUAUUAGGGUGUCACACCCAGACUGUAACCUGAAAGAGAGGGGAGCCCAUGUUUUGUCCAAAUCUUAUAUUUCCCCAGGGGCCUCGAUGCACACAGUAGAAAUGCUCAGUAAAUGUUUAUUUAAAUUGAAUUGUCAAAUUCCUAUUCAUCUUUUGGCUCAAUCAAUCAAUUGAUAAACAUUUAUUAAGCGCCAACUCUGUGCCUAGCAUUGUGCCAAGGGUGGGGCAUACGGAGAACUACAGACAGAACAUAUACACAGAAGUGUCUAAGAAGAGGCAUUAGCAGCUGAGGAAAUGGGAAAGACCUCAAGUAGGAAGUGGAGUGAGUUUGAUUAGAACUUUGGAGGAAAACUAGGGAUUCUAAGGAUCAGAGAAAAGGGACACACUCUAGUCACAGGGAGCCAGCAGAGGGAAAGAGCCCAGCAUUUGAGCGUGUCAGAAGCCAUUGUUUUGAUUCUGUCUCACUUGAUGUCACUGACACAUCUGCCAAUUAAUAUUUUUACUAUCCAAGUCACCAGAAGAUUGAGAAGGAGCAGAGUCCUGAGGAAUGCCUUCUUCCUGGGCAGCAAUCAACACUUUGGAUAGGCCCAAAGAAACAUUUAGCAUAGAGAACCCUAUUUUUCCAGUUCAUCCACAAGGCUGUCAUCAGUGUCAAAUGCCUUGCUAAAAUCAUGCUCCUAUGGCUGCUCUACAAAUCCGGUUAUCCUAUCCAAAAAAGGAAAGCAAAUGAAAUAAGGCUAGUUUAAUGUGACUUGUUUUUAGCUCAAUACAACAAACAUUUAUUAAGCACCUACUGUGUGUGCAAGGCACUUGCUUGCUAGGUGCUCAGAAAGAGAAAUUACAAAGUCUCCACCCUCAAGGGGAGGGUGUUCUAGUAUAAUAACAAGGCUGAGUGAGACAUGUACACAAAUAAAUAUAUAAGAUACAAGGAAGAAAAUGAUUGAGUCCAUAGGAAAGGUAAGUGGGGCAUGGAAAAAUCUAAGGCGGGGUGGUUUCUUAAUCUGGGAGGUUCAUGAAUCUGUUUUGAAAACAUUGUGACAGCUGUAUUUCAACAUAAAUUGGUUUUCUCUUGACCCUAUGUGCCUUAUUUAAUGUUUUGUUAAAUCCCCUCUGAAAAACUGGUUCAUAGCCUUCAAACACACUGCGCCAAAGGUGUCCAUUCCAAAAAAAAAAGAAAAAAAGGUUUGGUCUAGGAAAUAAAGGUUGCUUCUAGCUAAGGGAAUUAGGGAAGAAGUUUAUCAGAGAUACGGGUCUGGAAGUCAUCGACAUAGACUCAAAAACUGGAAGACAUGGGAAGUGAAUCAAAUUUGCCAACUGAGACCAUGGAGAAAAAGGAGACAAAAACAGUCUUGGGAGACACAUACACACACUUCAGAGGGGGAAGGGGUAUGAAAAAGCAGUGAAGAAGGCACAAAGAUAAGUUAGAAAGGUAAGAGACACCAAAGUCAAAGGAGUCUGGAGCAAAGAGGAGGGGCUGAUCAAUGUCACAUUGCUUGAGAAGCAGCCACCAGACUAUGGAAUUAGCUCUCUGGUGAUUCAGUAUAGUUUCAGGACCAGGGUCCAGUUGAAAGGCAGAUUGAGGGGGAGUGGGUAUGGCGCAAGGAAGAAAGCAGGAACAUGAAGACUUUUUUCUCUUCUAGGUCAGCAUCGAACAGGAGUCAGAAAGGCAGUUCACAGCAUGGCAGAUGGUCAAAGGCGCGUUUUCACUAGGAUAAAGCAUACCUGAGUGUGUUAAGAGGAAGGAGAAUGAAGAUAAAAUAGUGAGAGGAUGGAUCAGUGGAACAAGGUCCAGAAGAGAGCGAAGGGAAUGUAGAAAUGGGCAUUCAGAGAGGGGUUAGCUUUGGCCACAGCGCACCUUAUCCCCAGGAGGAAUCGAGCAUUGGACACAUUGAGUCAUCCAACUAUUGAGGCUUCAACUUGUCCAGAGGAGCUGAUAGCAGCUAACGAAGCCCCACACUGGUAACCUUAGGGGAUGCCAAGGAUCUCCUUAGACCUCCACGGAAAGAGCAGGAGUGGGGAUCAGCUGCAAACAGUGGAGAUUCACCUUGUACGAAAUGGCCUUCCUACCCAAAUACCAUUCAAGGUUUUAAAGCUUGGAAUUUGGCUUCUGGGGUUCGGAGGGGGCAGGAGAGGCCUCAGUGAUCAUCAGAUGCAGCUGGAGAGGGAACGAAACCUUGCUUGGCUCUGUUACAGUACAACAGCCAUGGCUAUCUCUCCCCUUCCCCCACCAAGUUCUCUAGCACCUGCUAUUUCAAAAUCAGGGAGGGAAGGGCAGAAUCUGUCAGCUAGAUGGACACCCCAUCCCAGCUUCCCAGCAAUACCUUCCACUGCCCCUCCUCCACCAAUGACCCUAGGAGCCCUGUUAGCAAGACUGCCUGGGAAUAACAACACUGCAUUGAAGACACAGACAGGGUUAUUUUUAAACCUUACCAAGUGUCUGGGGGCAGCUGGGUAACUCAGUGGAUUGAGAGCCAGACCUAGAGAUGGGAGGUCCUAGGUUCAAAUCUGGCCUCAGACACUUCCCAGCUGUGUGACCCUGGGCAAGUCCCUUGACCCCCAUUGCCUAGCCCUUACCACUUCUUCUGCCUUGGAGCCAAUACACAGUAUUGGCUCCAAGACAGAAGGUGAGGGUUUAAAAAAAAACAACACCUUACCAAGUGUCACCAGCCCCCUAACCCCCAACUUGAAUCUUUAUAGACCCACAGGGCCUCCUGUCCUGGGAUCCAUGGCUCUUCCCAUAGUCUCCUAACAAAGCCAUGUCCAUAUUACCCAGGGGUGGGUUGUGUUCAGAUUUUAAAGCAGUCCUCCCAUCACACAUAACUUCCAAGUAAGUCUCCAUUGCCUCCUUUCGUUAAAAAUAAUUUUAUUUCUUUGGAAAAUGGCGGGGCCCUUGCUCUGUGGAUUCCUAACCCUACCUGGGUUAACAAUUCCCUAGCCCACUGCCCUGAAACAUUGGGGCCUCCUGGUAUUCCUCUCCUUAACCCUAGGCCCAGAGGAGUUUUCACAUUUGUGAAUGGGCAAGUCUCCAGAGUCUGAAAGCUCUGUAUUCUGACCCUCCUUGCCUCCAUUCCCCUCCCUUUACAGGGUUUGGGCUCAUUUUCAAAAAUCAGUGCAAGGGUCUAGGCUGGGGGUGGGGAGUGGGGAGGUGGAGGGGCAGUGUUUGGGAGAGCUCAAUAUCCCAUCAGCCAAGUCUUUCUGAGAACCCCAAAACCCUUCAGUCAUCCCUGGCAGCCUACAGUCCUCAAUCCCUUUGCAGGCCCCUCUAGUUGGCCUCCAGGGAAGCUGGAAAGAAUGCUUCUUAGGAGGAUGAGGCUUGGGAAAAUCUACCAUUCCCUCCGCUCCUCUAGGAGCCCAGCACCUAGCACUUGCCUUCUGUUCUCCUCAUUCCCUCAUGAGCUCCCUUCCAUGCACAUGAGAAGAGAUGGAUCCACCCUCUUCUCCUAUCCCCUUUGCCAGGGAGGCAAUAUCAGAGAAGUGUCCAGUGAACUGGUCAGUGUGGCAUGGCAGUGAUACGCAUGCUCUGUGAGGCAAUGGGGUAAGUCACCAUGGGUGUAGUGGCGUGGCUCAUUGUGAUUCCUGCUAGUGGCUGGGCCAUCGAAACAGCCACAGGGGCAACAGAUACAGCCACAGGGGCCAUGGAGACUGGAGGUGGGGCCAUGCCUUGAGCAAUUGUCUGGGCCAGAGCAGCGGAGAGAGGUGUGAUCUCUGGGUUCAGGUGGGGGGGUGGGGGAGGUGGGGGUGGUGCCGUGGGAGGAGCUGCAUUAGUUGGUGGGGCAGCCGGGGCACCCGUGGGGGCUACAAGCUCUUGUUGGGACACGGGUCUAGGCUGCAGGGCCUGGCUGCUGAGUGUGGUGUGUGUCUGAGCAAUGCCAUGGUUGUAGUUGGUGACGGUGCCCACGCUGGGCGCCAAUGUUUGUUCUGUGGCUGGUGCUGUGGAGCUCAGGGUCAUGACCUUGGCCUGGUUACGGAACUGGGCAUUUUGCUCCAACAGGACCUCAUUGGUGGCCAAUAAGUUGCUGACCUGCUUCUUUAGCUCUUCCACUCGCUUCCUGAGCAUAGCAUUCUCCUCCUCUAGCAAUCGGCACUCCAAACCCCGAGGUGGGGCCAGACUGUAUUCAAACGUCUCAAAAUGGGAACCAUCGGAGGGGCACCCGCCCCCUCCCCGUCGGCGUUUGGGGCAUGGCUCGUGGUCCUCAAAGCCCCGGUCUGGAAGAUCAUACGUGUCAUACAGAUCAUGGCGACGACUGGUGGGCACUGGCCCUGCAGGACCCCCUCCACCAGCACCCCCACCACCUCGAGCUUCAAACUCAAAAUCCCGCUGCAGGUGGCGGAACUUGCACUUGGCUCCUCGCUGGCAAUCCCCUUUGAGGAAGUCCCGGCAGAUGGGGACUUCCUCUUUCCCAUUGGGGAGGUCAGCUGGGGAAAGGCCCAGGCCGGCCGCCACUUUCUGCCUUAGCCGAGGGGGGAGUUCACCUGUCUUCUUGUAGCCAUCCUCAUCCUCCUUGGAGCCAUGGAUGAAUCGGCAGUUCAGACGACUACACUCCUUGUUCUGGAAGUCAUGGCAGAAGAUAAACUCAUUCUUACUCACACCUAGGUUGGAGACCUCGCUAAUGUCCGGGUGUCGGUAGCGGCAGCGCUUGCCCCGCUUACACACGUUCCUCAGAAAGUCCCGGCAGAUCGCAUCUGAGCUGCCCACAUUGGCUCCUGACCCAGCUCCGCUGAUCUCCUCACUGCCACCACCUCCAGAGCCUCCAUUGCUGUUCCCUGUGCCAUUGGUAUAGCUGUCUCGGUCAGGCAUUCUGGUCCCACUCCAAAUGAGUGGCUUCUUCCUUUGCCGCCACCCUUGAGUACAACUAGGGAAAAGGAGAACAGGCAUCAGGUAAAGGGAGCCCUGGAAGAGGACCCUGCCUCUCCCUAUUCCUGGCAGUGAAAGUGGCGAGGGGUAAUGAAUUCUGUGCCUACAGUCCUUACAGAAUGGAAAUGCUGCUGCUGGGAUAUGAAGGGUACUAGGAGAGGUCCUGCCCAACCCCUUAUGCAACUGAUCUUGCUGGGCUUAUUCUGGGCAAGGCAAGAGGAAUAAAGGCUGCGGGGAGGGGGGAACAUGGGGAGGAAUGGUGUAGGGUUAAGCCACCCACCUGCUGAUUAAUGAGGGUAAGCUGAAGAGAAGGGUAGUGUGGGAUUUUGCCUCCCCCUCUCACUGACCUUAUUAAAGUCAUGGGAAUGAAAUCAAAA